GUGCCAGCAGCCGCGGUAAUACGGAAGGUCCGGGCGUUAUCCGGAUUUAUUGGGUUUAAAGGGAGCGCAGGCCGGAGGGUAAGCGUGACGUGAAAUGCCGCGGCUCAACCGUGGAAGUGCGUCGCGAACUGCCUUUCUUGAGUAUGUUCGACGUAGGCGGAAUUCGUGGUGUAGCGGUGAAAUGCUUAGAUAUCACGAAGAACCCCGAUUGCGAAGGCAGCCUACGAGGCCAUUACUGACGCUAAAGCUCGAAGGUGCGGGUAUCGAACAGGAUUAGAUACCCUGGUAGUCCGCACGGUAAACGAUGGAUGCCCGCUGUUGGCGAUACAGUGUCAGCGGCCAAGCGAAAGCGUUAAGCAUCCCACCUGGGGAGUACGCCGGCAACGGUGAAACUCAAAGGAAUUGACGGGGGCCCGCACAAGCGGAGGAACAUGUGGUUUAAUUCGAUGAUACGCGAGGAACCUUACCCGGGCUUGAACUGCCAGAGAACGAUUCAGAGAUGAUGAGGCCCUUCGGGGCUCUGGUGGAGGUGCUGCAUGGUUGUCGUCAGCUCGUGCCGUGAGGUGUCGGCUUAAGUGCCAUAACGAGCGCAACCCCUGCGUGUAGUUGCCAUCAGGUGAUGCUGGGCACUCUGCACGGACUGCCACCGUAAGGUGUGAGGAAGGUGGGGAUGACGUCAAAUCAGCACGGCCCUUACGUCCGGGGCUACACACGUGUUACAAUGGGUGGUACAGAGAGUCAGCGGCCGGCAACGUCCGCUCAAUCAUGAAAGCCAUCCUCAGUUCGGAUUGGGGUCUGCAACCCGACCCCAUGAAGCUGGAUUCGCUAGUAAUCGCGCAUCAGCCAUGGCGCGGUGAAUACGUUCCCGGGCCUUGUACACACCGCCCGU
rnacentral:rRNA from 1 species